rnacentral:sRNA from 1 species
GUUGGGUCGGCGCGGGCUUCUCAGGCCGCACGUGGGAUUCGGCCCGGUGCUCUUGUAAGCUGCUGCUCCUGCGGUUGGUGAGAUUACCUGGGUCUUGAGUGCGGAGCUGCUCCGUGGCCACGAGGACGGCACCAUGGUGGGCCCCCUCCUGCUCCCCCGAACCGCUUGCCUAAAGCACCAAAGGGAAAAAGUACAGGACGGGAAAAAAAAGUCAUCCAUCCAUAUAGUAGAAAAGCAGCUCAAAUUACGAGAGAGGCCCACAAACAAGAAAAAAAGGAAAAAUUGAAGAAUGAAAAGGCCUUGCGUCUCAACCUUGUUGGUGAAAAACUGCAAUGGUUUCAAAAUCAUCUUGAUCCCCAAAAAAAGAGAUAUUCAAAGAAAGAUGCUUGUGAACUAAUUGAAAGGUACCUAAAUCGAUUCAGCAGUGAGCUGGAGCAGAUUGAGUUACAUAACAGUAUCAGGGACAGGCAGGGGAGGCGGCACUGUUCCCGGGAGACCGUCAUCAAGCAGACGAUGGAGCGGGAGCGGGAGCAGUUUGAAGGAUAUGGCCUUGGUGUGCUCACUGAUUUUUUAUUUUCCUUUUAUAUGACAUAGCAGUAUCAAUUUGUGAUUGAUUUCAAAGGUUUUAUUUUAGAUCUUGUUUAUUUCAUUUGAUUUUCUUCCUUUGAUGUCUUUUUUUUUGUGAGGGUUUAGAAAAAUUUUGGAUUUUUUUCCCCCUACAUUCCCAACAAAACUAUCAAGUUUGUGACAGUGACAUCAUGUCUUUUUACUGUGAUAGUAAUACUGAUUACUUUAACAUUGAUCUUGUCAACCCUAACUUGUCUCCAGAACUCCAAAUUUGCAGUAUCACAUACGGAUUUCUCAAACUCUCUUCUUGCAUGUCUUUUGGGCAUCUCAGACUUGACAUGUCAUGAAACAAAGGCCAGCUUUUCUCCUAAAACUUCCUCCUCCUGCAGGUUUCUUAUACCGGUCAGUGGCAUCACCACCUGCCCAGUUGCUCAGAUCAGAAACUCUAGAGUCGCUUUCAUAGUCCACAUCCAGCCCGUCAGCAAAGCGUUUAGAAUCUGAUGACUUCGACGACUACUACUACCACCUCCCAACUUCCCUGGUUCCGGCCACUAUCGUCUCACCUGUACCAUUGUAAUAGCCUCCUAGUUGCUCUCUGUGGCUCCAGUCUUUCCGGCU